UGCAGUGUCCUCCACAGGGGCCAUCCUGAA
rnacentral:piRNA from 1 species